rnacentral:tRNA from 1 species
GCGGGAAGUAGCUCAGUUUGGUAGAGCACCUGGUUUGGGACCAGGGGGUCGCAGGUUCGAA